GACGCUUAACCAACUGAGCCACCCAGGCACCCCCCUAACCUAAGUUUUCAAAGGGUGUAUCCCACAAAGUGUGUCUGUUCAAUUAUGCCCCACUGGAUAUGUCUCUGAGGAAGAGGAAAUUGGAGGAGUGAGGGGCCUGGCACAGUAUAAACACUCACACCAUGUUCUACACGCGAUGGAGUGGGAAACAAGCUGGCACCAAGAAUAACGGACUCUCGUAUGGCGGGCAUGGAAACUGAUAUCCUUCUACGAAGUCUCCGAAGCUCAGAUCGCUUAUUCCUAGGGACUCCAUUCAUUUCCAUCUCCAAAGCUCCCACCCGCCACACGCCCCAAGGACUCUGUGAAAUGAUCCUCUGAAUGAUCUCCUGAGAGAUGGAAGAGUCAUUGACCAACCAGAUGCAGAGCAUACAGGGGACAGUCUAAAGACACAGGAGAUGAGAGGAACCAUUUAAUGGAGGGAUCCCACAUCUCUGACUGACUGUGUAGAGCAGUUCCCCUGGACCCAACACGAUCUGGCCUAUAAUAUGAUGAUGUAAAAGGCUGAACCAAAAAUAACAGCAGGUCUUAUAUAUACCAUUCCUCUGCUGCACUGGUAAAUUACAGCUGUGGUCUCCACGUGGUAAUUAAAAGGUAAGGAGUCCAGAAGACAGAAGGUGAAGGAGAGGUCCUGCCCUGGGAACAACAAUCUAAGCUUCUGACUAUUGGUUCAUAUGACACAACUCCCCCAAGUGGGUGGAUGAGACUUCUAGUAAGCCAUCUCCAUGGAGAAGCUUCACAGACCAUUUCCCCGGUAACUGUAGGUAUCCCCCUGACAUCUACUCAUCUGCCUGAGGAACUAACUAUACCCCUGCUUGGACACAAUGAGUCCUUCAUGAUGAGGAAGAAGGGUUGUGGGUAGACUAAGAGAAGGCAGUGGCUCCGUCUUUGUUCAGUAUGGUGACAAAGGGUCCUGGAGAGGUCAUUGGUCCCUCUUCUGAACAGUCAGUUUCUCCACUUUUGUUCUCCAGACAAAUGGAGCGGUGAAGAGGAGAAAAUAAACAGUUUACAUGUCAAGCCUGUGUACCUUUACUCUGCCUUUUGGCCAGGGUCAAAAUUGCUAAGAGCAAAAGGUUUUCUUUUUUUCUUUUUCUUCUUUUCUUUUUUUUUGGAAUGUUAUGCGAAAACAGUUUAGGUUUUUAUAUUUAAGCUAAAAAGACAAGUUCAUUAUCAUUAACCAAGCAUUACAUUGAUCAAUGUCUGAAAAAAGUUUUCUAGGAAGGACUAGUGUCUUCUGAAAUAUUAGUAAAUUCUUCAUUUAAAAAAUUCUAUGGUCUAGUCAGUUUGGAAAUCAUGUUAAACAAACUUAAGUGGAUUUGUUUUCUGUAGAAAUUCUCACAAACAUUAAUGCACUGUUAAUUUGCUAUCCUAGCCGAUUAAUUAUCCCAGCUAACAGUACUAUCAGACAGAGAAAGGGGAGAGACAGGAGAGGAAAACAAAAACAUAAUAAAUUGCUUUAGGGAGGCAAUCAACCACAUCUGCUGAAAUGUUAUCAGCAUGCAUUAUGGCCCCCGUAUGGCCAGGAAAAAGUGAUAAACAAUACUGCAUUAAACAUCAGUUUAUCUUUUUUAUCUCAGUUAUAUAGUUUGGAAAGAGACAUACAGGACAAAACCCUGGUGUCACAUCUUGUGGAUCAUUGUCAUGUGAGUUUGCGCAAAUUAUUUAACUUCUCAAAGCCUUUUCUCAGCCAUAAAAGUGAGCUAAUAUCUAGCCCUUGGGUUAUUGUAAAGAUUGCAUGAAAUUAUGAAUGCAGCACUGGGUACAGAAAUGAUCAAUUGUUUCCUUCUUUCUCUCCUGGACCUUCAUGUUUUCCUCAGCUUCAAUCAGCCAUUUGAGCAUAAAGUGCCUCAGAUAAGAAUGAGGGCCACUCUCCUGCUAUGAUGACAAUGGUCUCCUGCAGAAAACAGUCAGUGUCCAAGAGUGAUUGUCCCUAUAAUAACUUCUGCCAUUCAUUCCAUUUAUCCAUUCACCAAGGCAGCCAACACAUUCCUAUGAGGUACCUACUAUGGAUCAGGCUGUAAGGAUAGAGAGGGGCGUGUUUCAUUCCCUGACUGAGCUUACUGUCAGUAAGUGAAAACUACCAUUUAAAUAAGCAAGAGCAGACAAGUAUGACAACAGAUCUGAUGGGAAAUAUUCCGGCUGCUAAUUGUGCACCUGGGAAUCUGAGAGAGGCAGAAAUUUAGUACAGCCACUCUUCCUGUGAUACACAGUGAAGGAGCCCACAUAAAAAUCACAUCCCCAGUGGAACAGGAAGUGAAGACCAGAGUGAAGAAAAGAGUGGGAGGGACUGUGCCUUCAGGUCUCACUUGACCUCCAUAGCAACUCACAAAGGUGGUAAAGCAGAGUGAGGAAUUUUUCACAAGGGCAAAGCGCCAGUUCCCAGUGGAGCCAAGGCUAUUGUCCAGGGUUUCCGAGCCCUAGGCCAGACUCUUUACCAUUGUAUGGUAUCAAGGGGCCAAAAGUAGGAUAAGCCUAGAGGAAUUUCCUUCAAACCCCCAAGGAAGGAGGACCCCAUUAGUUUCUUCGUAAAUAAUGCUUCCUUAGAAUUCUGGGCUUUUCCUUUUCACUUCUCAUGCCAUUCCCAAAAUUUCACUUUGUUCUUACCAGCAUCAUAACAUAUCUGAUUAUACUUCCACAAGGCCAAGGACUAUGUCAUUUUUCUCCAUAUAUUUUCAGUACCCAGCUUGUGUUGAGUGAUAUGAUUAAUUAAUUGACUUAUUAAUGAAAGGGCGGGCCUACGCCAGCCGACUCCAUCUUGUUCUGUGUCCUUCACCUUGACCACACCUCCUCCCCUUGACUCCAUCUUGUUCUGUGUC